GAUGAACGCUGGCGGCGUGCCUAAUACAUGCAAGUCGAGCGAACGGACGAGAAGCUUGCUUCUCUGAUGUUAGCGGCGGACGGGUGAGUAACACGUGCAUAACCUACCUAUAUGACUGGGAGAACUUCGGGAAACCGGAGCUAAUACCGGAUAAUAUUUUGAACCGCAUGGUUCAAAAGUGAAAGACGGUCUGGCUGUCACUUAUAGAUGGAGCCGCGCUGCAUUAGCUAGUUGGUAAGGUAACGGCUUACCAAGGCAACGAUGCAUAGCCGCCUUGAAAGGUGGAUCGGCCACACUGGAACUGAGACACGGUCCAGACUCCUACGGGAGGCAGCAGUAGGGAAUUUUCGGCAAUGGGCGAAAGCCUGACGGAGCAACGCCGCGUGAGUGAUGAAGGUCUUCGGAUCGUAAAACUCUGUUGUUAGGAAAGAAAAUAUGUGUAAGAAAAUCUGCACAUCUUGACGGUACCUAAACAGAAAGCCACGGCUAACUACGUG
rnacentral:rRNA from 1 species